rnacentral:ncRNA from 1 species
CCUGCGCUUCCAUUUCACGGUCAGACAGGCCACCGCAGAUCUGGAUAAUACGGUCAGACAGCGUCGAUUUACCGUGGUCGAUGUGAGCUAUGAUUGAAAAGUUACGUAUGUUCUUCAUAUAGUGUAAUUAUUGUGCCUUACGCCUGCCUGGGCAGGCUCUGAGAAGUCGCUGUUCUGAGCUUAACGUCUGUUUUAGUGAAACGCCGCAUUCUACACUACAUCGCUGAGGCGAGGAAAUGUUCAUAGAGCAAGGAUAGCGGGAACUGGAAACAACUUUGCAAAGUCAGUGAAACUUUUGCCGGAUGGCGGCAUAAACGCCUUAUCCGGCCUACCUCUGCAUCUGAGGACGCUGUCGGCCUGAUAAGCGCAGCGCCAUCAGGCAAAGAUAUCACUGCUGGGUUUCAACACGAAUCAGAUCAGGCGGGAGAGCUACGUUGAGAAUAACCGGUUGCCAGGCUUUGCGCUCAGCAAGCUUACGGGAAUAUCCUCGCGCAAUCAGGAAUCCCCCCACGCCGCCCAGUAUCGCCCCGCUGAGUGCGGCGAUAUCACUGCCAAACAGCACCUGAAACAGCGCAGCAAAAAUAAAGAGUCCCGCCAGCGGAGACAUAUAAACCAGCAUCGCCGAGCCUAACAGGCUCCCUUCGGCAAUACCCAGUUCAACUUUCUGCCCUGGCGUCAGCGGUUCAUCGCUGGGUACCACGAUAGUAUGCGUUGUUUGCGGCCCCAGUUUGUUCAGCACACGACUGCCGCAUCCAGCCCGCGAGGCGCAGCUGCUACACGAUGCUUUAACAUCGCAGCUGACCGUUGCCAGACCAUUUUGCCAGAAAACAACCGUUGCCCAUUCUUUAAUCAUUGCGCGGCCCUGAACUUGAUAUUGUCUGCAAUACG